AGGUUGGGAGAGGUGACAAUGCU
rnacentral:miRNA from 1 species